UGAAAGAAACCCAGCAGAAUUCAGUUAUCAAAGCAAAGCACAGCACUGCAUUUUGAAAUAAUUCCAGCAAUACUGUGCUUCCUGCCAAGAACUUUUUCGAUUACUCACACAAACACCAAAGACCAGAUUGACGGUUUAGAAAAUUAUAGAAAGACAGAAAUGUCUAGUUUCCACAGUGUUCAGAGAGCACCUGAAUGACGUUUCCAGUGUAUGAUCCAAAGCAACUGGUGGCAGUGUACUUAGGGGAAAAAACAGGCUUUUGAUAUAAGACAGAAGCCUAAACUUUACCUUGUACUUCUACAGUGUCUCCAGUUGAAUUAAUGAAAUAGCUUUACAACAAGAUGGCAUAAAGAAUUAGAAAUGCUUCAAACAGAAUUUGAAGACUGAGACGAGAGAAGCAGCAGCAAGAGGAAUUGUAGAUGCAAGAGAAAGGCUUCCUCACGCCAUAUUAUAAACACAGAAGCUUAUUCUUCCAGCAAAUAAUUAUUGACCCAUUAUGAGUCUUGCGUGUUCUAAAGACACAGCAGCCCACAAAACAGGUCAGAGUCCUUCUGACACGGUGCUGACGUCUUAAAGGGACAGGAGCAACCCUCUAUGAGAUCAAUUAGCAGAAUUAUGGUAUAUAUUAUACUCAAAUGAUUACCAGGCCAAAUAGUGGCAUGGUGGUUAAAGCAGCUGGAUCCCACAUGGCCAACCAUGCGGUUGAAAUCCCAGAACUAGUGGCUUAAGAAACAUGCCUGGAAUGUGUAUGUGAAUGCCCAGAACCGAGAG